GGGGCUUUGGGGUUUCUCCUAGGUUGAUGCUGCCAACAAGGGACCAUGUUGUUAUCGCAGAACUGAGAUGGCACAGGGUUCAUGUUGCUGAGGAGGACCAGAGGGCUGGGACUGGGAGCCUUCAGCACAGGAUGGGAUGGAAGUGUGGUUAUCAGGUGAGGUACCUCACUGAGUCUGGUACCCACUGGCCAUAGCAGCAAUCAAAAAGUGACGAAGACAGAAGAAGCUGGCAUACAGGUCUCAAGGGUCCAAGUCAGAGCUGCACAGGGGAAGAGAAAGGAGUUUGCCCCACUAUUUACAACAGGCCCCAUCUGGGGCCCUGAGCCAGCCUGGCUUGUGGAGUCCAUGGUUGUGGAGACAGACUCCAGGAAGGCCCUCAACCUCCUGCCAGUGUGAAUGUAGUCCAGCUUGCAAGAGAGAAGGAGCUCCUGUAAUGUCACAGGUCACUCAACAUUGGGGUUGUGACCUUAGACCUGUGCAGGGAGGAGACAUCCUAUAAAGCCUGUCUGUGAACCCAGAGAGUAAAGACUCUCCUCUCAGCCGCC